GAAUGCGUUCGGUUUGCUCAUCGAUCGAAUCUCAUUUGGAUCCAUUCGACGUCUCUCUACUUUCUCCACUUUUGGCAGCUAAUGUGAAGCUGGUUUAUACAAGAACUCAAGUUAGUGCAUUUUUAAUUUCUUUUCAAGUUUUCAAUUUUCGAACAAAAAAUAGAAAAAAAAUGAAAAUUUCCGGCAAAUCGGAAAACCGGCAAAUCGACAACUUGCCGAAAAUGAAAAUUUCCGGAAAUUUGUGGAAAUUGGAAAUUUCAAUUUUCCAAAAAAAAAAUUUUUGCUCCGAAAAUUAAGAUUUUUCAAAAACACUCUCUCUCGAAACAGGUUCUCUUCUCGUGCCUCGUCGCUGACACCCUAUCCAGCAAAGAAGUUCAACUGCCACAAUCAUUCUCAAAGAUUCAAGACGUUUCAGUGCACAUUGAGCAACCUUCUCGUAUUCCGAUGGUGCCAAGACUUGACAGAACGGUAGAAAUUGAUCUAUGGAAAUUUUGAAAAACAUAAUUUUUUGUUCAGAUGAAUGGUGAUAAGAAGAAUGGUGGAGCAAGACUCAAGAAUAACAAGUAUCUGGCGAAUCCGCAACAAG
rnacentral:sRNA from 1 species